rnacentral:rRNA from 1 species
UGGGGAAUAUUGGACAAUGGGCGAAAGCCUGAUCCAGCCAUGCCGCGUGUGUGAAGAAGGUCUUCGGAUUGUAAAGCACUUUAAGUUGGGAGGAAGGGCAGUAAGUUAAUACCUUGCUGUUUUGACGUUACCGACAGAAUAAGCACCGGCUAACUCUGUGCCAGCAGCCGCGGUAAUACAGAGGGUGCAAGCGUUAAUCGGAAUAACUGGGCGUAAAGCGCGCGUAGGUGGUUUGUUAAGUUGGAUGUGAAAGCCCCGGGCUCAACCUGGGAACUGCAUCCAAAACUGGCAAGCUAGAGUACGGUAGAGGGUGGUGGAAUUUCCUGUGUAGCGGUGAAAUGCGUAGAUAUAGGAAGGAACACCAGUGGCGAAGGCGACCACCUGGACUGAUACUGACACUGAGGUGCGAAAGCGUGGGGAGCAAACA